rnacentral:lncRNA from 1 species
AACGAUACAAAUAAUUACAACUCAAUUACACUAAUCAAAUUAGACCUUUAAGUCAUUGAUCAAUUAAUAAAUAAAUUAAACAAUCUAAUCUCUUAUUAUAAACUCAUGUUGGCUUAGUAGUAAAAAUGUUAAUGUCCAAUACCUGAGAUUCUGGAUUCGAGUUCUCCGUCACAUUAUCUUUAAAUUUCUUUAUUUACUUAUAUAAUUAAAAAAAAAAACUCUGUGGUCCCAUAGGCCAAUUUCUUAUUUCACUGAUUAGUUGGCAGCUGAAAUGCUUAAUUAAUUAAUUUCUUAAAGGGUAAUUAUAUACAUAGCCCCCAUUUUAUUCACUAUAGCUUCUAAUUAAAAAAAUAAAAAAUAUUAAUAAAUAGAUUGUUUUGCCCUUGUAGCCCCCAAAAUUAAAACUUCACCGAUUAGAAAUCUAUAAACAUAAAAAUACGACAAAGAAUUUCAAUAAAACUUACAGCCCCAAAUUA